GACGAACGCUGGCGGCGUGCUUAACACAUGCAAGUCGAACGCUGAAGCUCAGCUUUUGUUGGGUGGAUGAGUGGCGAACGGGUGAGUAACACGUGAGUAACCUGCCUCCUUCUUUGGGAUAACGCCCGGAAACGGGUGCUAAUACUGGAUAUUCACUGGUCUUCGCAUGGGGGUUGGUGGAAAGGGUUUUUCUGGUGGGGGAUGGGCUCGCGGCCUAUCAGCUUGUUGGUGGGGUGAUGGCCUACCAAGGCUUUGACGGGUAGCCGGCCUGAGAGGGUGACCGGUCACAUUGGGACUGAGAUACGGCCCAGACUCCUACGGGAGGCAGCAGUGGGGAAUAUUGCACAAUGGGCGCACGCCUGAUGCAGCGACGCCGCGUGAGGGAUGGAGGCCUUCGGGUUGUGAACCUCUUUCGCUCAUGGUCAAGCCGCAACAAUGGUUGUGGUGAGGGUAAUGGGUAAAGAAGCGCCGGCUAACUACGUG
rnacentral:rRNA from 1 species